CGGGGGGUGGCCCACCCCCCGCGAUCCGGCCCCCAGCAGCCGCCCCGGAACGCCCCCCGGCGGCUGGGGGCCAUGGUGCACUCACAGCCUGUUUCCGACAUUCCGAGUAAUGUUAUCUCCCCUUCUGAAAAUUUUGAACCCUUUCACAUACGGGUGUACACCCCUAGUGUGUACACCCUCAGAGGGUGUACAACCGUCUGUAUUGGGAAUCAUAUCAUCCUCUUCCCCCCGAAUAUUAAGAAGGGUAGCCCAGGAGUGUUUCUCCUCCAUGCGAUGUUGCGUGUCCUAUCCUCCUCUCCCAAGUGGAUAUUCGAAGCAAUAUCAAUGCGGUCGUGUACACCAGUUGUGAUAUUUAAGGCAGGGUACACCUACCUGUGAUGUUCCUAAUAUCCUGGGACGGAGAGCAUUAUUUUAGUUUUAAUAUCGCACUAGCUGUACACACACCCCGUGACCCUGAUCCUAACAUCCCGGGGAGUAGAGUACAACAUGACUCCCAACAUCGCCAUGACUGGACAGCCACCCAGUAAUAUUGCUCCUAAUAUUCCCGGAAGAAGCCUAUUCUAUGACCUCCAAUAUCGCAAGGAGGGUACAGCUCUUCUGUGAUAUCGUUCCUACUAUCCGGAGGGGGAGAGGAUGAUAAUGAUUCGCAGGCUGUGUUCACCGGCCCUGUGAUAUUGUUAUUAAUAUCCUGGAAGGGAGAGGGUGAUAUUACACUCCGUACAGCAGGAAGCGUACACACAGCCUGGGAUAUUGUUCCUAAUAUCCAUGGAGGGCACCGGCUGAUAUUACUUCCAAUACGGCAGAGGGUGUACAUCCACCCUGUGACAUUCUUCUUAAUAUUCGAAGGCCGAGAGUUUGAUAUUACUCCCAGUAUCGCAGAAACUGUACAACCCCGUGUGAUACUCUUCCUCAUACCCAGAAGAGGAGAAGAUGGUGUUAAUCCCCAAAUGGCAGAAGGUGAACACAAACUCUGUGAUAUCGGUGACGCACCCCCUCCAAG
ensembl:lincRNA